GAGCCCAUUUCUAGCCCAACAAUCAAGUCAGGUCAGCUUAUAUACGGAUUGAGUCAGAUAUAUGGUGGGUUAGAAUCCCAAAUCUGAACGUGAGCUGUUUAUUAAAUUGACCAAGAUUUUAAACCUUAACUUGCUACAUUAAUAAAUAUGUAAUCCAACUCAACCUACUUAACCGGUUCAAUAAAUAGGUAAUCUGCUUAGCCUUAUGACCUGUAUAACCUACGUACCUA
rnacentral:lncRNA from 1 species